AUGAUGAAGGACCAUAUCAGUAGCUACUACAUCUCUGUGGGUACCUAAACAUGUGCAUUCAUGUGCUCUUGCAUAAUUCACUAAGGCACAAGAAUUAUGGACAUCAAAUAUGUGCUUCCCUAUACCCUGCUCACUGUUUUCUUCCCAAUAGAUCCAGAUAAACAUGUCACUUUAGCCACUGUACACGUUGAAAGACUGUCCAGCUGAGCCACCUAUGGGGCUAUCUAUGACUGAAGCUCCUGCCAUCUGUGCCUCAACGACUGUCUUUCAAAGUAACUUACAUCCCUUUUGCCAUCCUAUGACAUGAUCACAAUCAAUUGGGCCUGUAAUCUGCAUUUCGAUGUGUUUCUACUCAUUUAUUCAGGUUUAUACUUUAAUUUGUGACCCACCUCUGUAUGUACGCACAAAUAACAUAUGCACAGACGCCCACGCAUAAGCUACAUGAAUUCACACACGCACACAUAGGCCCUACAACAUGUGUCACGUCUGGUCCUGAGCCAUAGUAUUGUGUUUUUUGAGGGCUGAGCUCUUGUCGCCCAGCUGGACUUGGGUUCUGCCAUUGUGUUUGGGAGGUCAGAUUUGUUGAAUUUGGACCAGUCUGCUGUCCUUCGUGUGCUCAACGACCCACACAGUCUCAUGGGGCGGCCUGGAAGUGCAUAACCAGACCUGCUAAACACACUUUACUUCAGGAACUGGCAAACAAAAACACUCACAUAAAUAAAAUUUCGAGCAAUAAGUAAGUAAAAUGCGUCAUUACUUAGGCAAAGUAGCAGUCAAAAAUUAAAAGUUUGUUUCUCUGUAAAUAUUUUUCACCGGUUAUUGUAUGAUGGUUUGUUGGAGGUUUUAGUACAAAUUGAUCGCUGGUAAGAUUACAAAAGAGAGCUGUGUGUUUAAAUGGUGAGAAGACUGGACUGUUUGGACUCACUACCUGCAUUUGUGACUAAGGUUUCCCUUUCCAUGUCCUGUUACAGCACCAGCAAACACCACCCUCCUGUUUCUGUGAGGGGACUGUGCUGUUAAAGGGGCCACUGCUUUCUCAGAUCACAUGACCUUCUCCAUGAUGUCAUUUCCUCCUGAAGAAAAGACUGGCAAGACUCCAAGGCUUUCUGAGUUAUUUUAAAUCUUUUAUUAUUGAUUUUAAUGUUUAUUGAUUUUAAUUAACUGUUUUGUUUUAUUUUAUUGUAUUUUAUGUACAGCGUCUUUGAGUUACUUGUAAAGCACUUUAUAAAUAAAAUUUAUUAUUAUUAUUA
ensembl:lncRNA